CCCUUAGAUGUCCUGGGCCGCACGCGCGCUACACUGAGUGUCUGAGAUACGAGUCUGCCUGGUCCGGCAAGGUCUAGGUAAUCGCUAAAAGACACAUCAUGCUUGGGAUAGAUUAUUGCAAAUAUUAAUCUUGAACGAGGAAUUCCUAGUAAGCCCAAGUCAACAGCUUGCGUUGAUUACGUCCCUGCCCUUUGUACACACCGCCCGUCGCUACUACUGAUUGGAUGUUUAAGCGAGGUUCUCGAACUGCUAGCGACUUAGCUUCGGUGAGGUCGCAGUGUGGGAAGUGAACCUAGCUUUGGUGUCUAGAGGAAGUAAAAGUCGUAACA
rnacentral:rRNA from 1 species